rnacentral:tRNA from 1 species
GCGAGCAUCGCCAAGCGGGUUAAGGCGUCAGUCUGCAAAACUGUCCAUCGCCGGUUCGAAUCCGGCUGCUCGCU